GUGAGGAAUUUUCCGCAAUGGGCGAAAGCCUGACGGAGCAAUGCCGCGUGAAGGAUUAAGGUCCUCUGGAUUGUAAACUUCUUUUAUAAGGGACGAAAAAAGGCUUUUCUAAGUCGUCUGACGGUACCUUAUGAAUAAGCACCGGCUAACUCCGUGCCAGCAGCCGCGGUAAUACGGAGGGUGCAAGCGUUAUCCGGAUUCACUGGGUUUAAAGGGUGCGUAGGCGGGCAGGUAAGUCAGUGGUGAAAUCCUAGAGCUUAACUCUAGAACUGCCAUUGAUACUAUCUGUCUUGAAUAUUGUGGAGGUAAGCGGAAUAUGUCAUGUAGCGGUGAAAUGCUUAGAUAUGACAUAGAACACCUAUUGCGAAGGCAGCUUACUACGCAUAUAUUGACGCUGAGGCACGAAAGCGUGGGGAUCAAACAGGAUUAGAAACCCGUGUAGUCC
rnacentral:rRNA from 1 species